UUUCCGUAGGUGAACCUGCGGAAGGAUCAUUAUCGAAUAGCAAUCCGGGGGGGAGCCCACCGAGCGAAGUUUAGUAGAUCGUAGGGAUUGUCGCUGGCCUUUGGAAACGAAGGCAUGUGCACGUUCCGAGUUCUCCUUAGUCCUCCUUUGCCUUUCCUUUGGAAGACCCUUUCUUCACACCCGUGCACACAUUGUAGGUCGCCGCGAGGGGAUCUAUGUCUUCACAAAACUCUACGUAUGUCCAGGAAUGUAUCUAAAGCGUCAAACGGCUCGGCUCCAUGCACGGUCGCCGAAGGUAAAGAACCAUAAUACAACUUUCAGCAACGGAUCUCUUGGCUCUC
rnacentral:misc_RNA from 1 species